GACGAACGCUGGCGGCGUGCUUAACACAUGCAAGUCGAACGGAAAGGCCCUGCUUUUGUGGGGUGCUCGAGUGGCGAACGGGUGCGUAACACGUGAGUAACCUGCCCUUGACUUUGGGAUAACUUCAGGAAACUGGGGCUAAUACCGGAUAGGAGCUCCUGCUGCAUGGUGGGGGUUGGAACGUUUCGGCGGUUGGGGCUGGACUCGCGGCUUAUCAGCUUGUUGGUGGGGUAGUGGCUUACCAAGGCUUUGACGGGUAGCCGGCCUGGGAGGGUGACCGGCCACAUUGGGACUGAGAUACGGCGCAGACUCGUACGGGAGGCAGCAGGGGGGAAUAUUGCACAAUGGGCGGAAGCCUGAUGCAGCAGCGCCGCGUGCGGGAUGACGGCCUGCUGGUUGUAAACCGCUUUCGCCUGUGACGAAGCGUGAGUGACGGUAAUGGGUAAAGAAGCACCGGCUAACUACGUG
rnacentral:rRNA from 1 species